rnacentral:rRNA from 1 species
UCGAACGGGACUCUUCGGAGUUUAGUGGCGGACGGGUGAGUAACGCGUGAGAAUCUGCCCUUAGGUUGGGGACAACAGUUGGAAACGACUGCUAAUACCCAAUGUGCCGAGAGGUGAAAGGUUAACUGCCUGGGGAUGAGCUCGCGUCUGAUUAGCUAGUUGGAGUGGUAACGGCACACCAAGGCGACGAUCAGUAGCUGGUCUGAGAGGAUGAUCAGCCACACUGGGACUGAGACACGGCCCAGACUCCUACGGGAGGCAGCAGUGGGGAAUUUUCCGCAAUGGGCGAAAGCCUGACGGAGCAAGACCGCGUGAGGGAGGAAGGCCUAUUGGUUGUAAACCUCUUUUGAUAGGGAAGAACACAAUGACGGUACCUAUCGAAUCAGCAUCGGCUAGCUCCGUGCCAGCAGCCGCGGUAAUACGGAGGAUGCAAGCGUUAUCCGGAUUUAUUGGGCGUAAAGCGUCCGUAGGUGGCAAACCAAGUCAGUUGUUAAAGCGUAGAGCUUAACUCUAUAAGGGCAAUUGAAACUGGUUAGCUAGAGUGCGAUAGGGGCAAGGGGAAUUCCCAGUGUAGCGGUGAAAUGCGUAGAUAUUGGGAAGAACAUCGGUGGCGAAGGCGCCUUGCUGGGUCUGCACUGACACUGAGGGACGAAAGCUAGGGGANCGGAAGGGAUUAGAUACCCCUGUAGUCCUAGCCGUAAACGAUGGAUACUAGGCGUUGUCCGUAUCGACCCGAGCCGUGCCGAAGCA